rnacentral:misc_RNA from 1 species
UGUAGGAGCUGCCGCAGGCUGCGAUCUCUUGAUCUUGCUUUAUUAAAAUCAAAAGAUCGCAGCCUGCGGCAGCUCCUACA